CCCAGACUCCUACGGGAGGCAGCAGUGGGGAAUCUUCCGCAAUGGGCGCAAGCCUGACGGGGCAAUGCCGCGUGAACGAAGAAGGUCUUCGGAUUGUAAAGUUCUGUCCUUAUCGAAGAGAGGGUAUAGAGUGAAAAAUGAUAUACUAGGACGGUAGAUGAGGAGGAAGCCCCGGCUAACUCCGUGCCAGCAGCCGCGGUAAUACGGAGGGUGCGAGCGUUAAUCGGAAUUACUGGGCGUAAAGCGCUCGUAGGCGGUAUGUCAAGUCAAGGGUGAAAUCCCCGCGCUCAACGUGGGAACUGCCUUUGAAACUGGCAAACUGGAGUGUGUGAGAGGAUAGUGGAAUUCCAGGUGUAGGAGUGAAAUCCGUAGAUAUCUGGAGGAACAUCAGUGGCGAAGGCGACUAUCUGGCACAUAACUGACGCUGAGGAGCGAAAGCGUGGGUAGCAAACAGGAUUAGAUACCCGUGUA
rnacentral:rRNA from 1 species